UACUAAAGGAUAACAGUAUUCCACUGGUCUUAGGCACCAAAAUCCUUGGUGCAA
rnacentral:tRNA from 1 species